UAGCAAUCAGCGAGAUUCCGUGGGCGUAGGACCCUCUGAGCCAGGUGCGGGAUAUAAUCUCGCGGUGCGCCGUUUUUUAAGCCCGUCGGAAAAGCGCAGUAUUCGGGUGGGAGCGAGCCGAUUUUCCAGGUGCCGUCCGUCACCCCUUUCUUUGACUAGGAAAGGGAACUCCCUGACCCCUUGCGCUUCCGGAGUGAGGCAAUGCCUCGCCCUGCUUCGGCUCGCGCACGGUGCACGCACCCACUGACCUGCGCCCACUGUGUGGCACUCCCUAGUGAGAUGAACCCGGUACCUCAGAUGGAAAUGCAGAAAUCACCCGUCUUCUGCGUGGCUCACGCUGGGAGCUGUAGACCGGAGCUGUUCCUAUUCGGCCAUCUUGGCUCCUGGAUCUCUGUGUCAACCUUCUUUUAUUUUUAAAAGAUAUUCACUGUCUCUUACUAAAGCUUCCUGUUCAAAGUCUGGCUGAGAAUUUUUGCUGCUUCUUUCCCUACCUCCUCAUUUCCGAAGGAGGUACCUUUCUGGCUUCUCUGUUGAACAUUUCCUAAAUAAAGUGUGGAUGAAAAGCAAUAGAGGAAGGAAAUGCAGAAAAUUAUAAGGCUGAAAUAGAAACUGGCCACAGCAGAGAUUAAAGGCCCUUCCUGGGUUAGCUGAUGCUCACCUACAUUGAUGAGGACAAUCUUUGUUUAGUUUGCUGAUUCAAUUGCUCACCUCUUCUGGAAACACCUUCACAGACUCACCAGAAAUAAUGUUUUACCAGCCAUCUGGGCAUCUGUUAGCCCAGUCAAGUUGACACUUAAAAUUAACCACCACAGAACUAAGGUUAAACCAUGACCACUCCUCGAGGCCUUCCCUGGAGAUUCGGGCUCAUAGAUUCCUUCUUUCUCUGAAUUCUAAAGUACUUAUGGAAGAUUCAGCAGAUAAUUUUUAAUGAAUUAAAUUUUAAUACAUCAAAU
rnacentral:lncRNA from 10 species